UACGAGGGGGGCAAGUGUUGUUCGGAAUCACUGGGCGUAAAGGGAGCGUAGGCGGAUGUUUAAGUUGGAUGUUUAAAACCGGGGCCUAACCUCGGAGCGGCAUCCAAAACUGGGCAUCUUGAAUAGGGCAGAGGCUGGUGGAAUUGGAGGUGUAGCGGUGGAAUGCGUAGAGAUCUCCAAGAACACCUAUUGCGAAGGCAGCCAGCUGGGACCAUAUUGACGCUGAGGCUCGAAAGCAUGGGGAGCAAACAGG
rnacentral:rRNA from 1 species